AGCGAACGCUGGCGGCAGGCCUAACACAUGCAAGUCGAACGGACCCUUCGGGGUUAGUGGCGGACGGGUGAGUAACACGUGGGAACGUGCCUUUAGGUUCGGAAUAGCUCCUGGAAACGGGUGGUAAUGCCGAAUGUGCCCUUCGGGGGAAAGAUUUAUCGCCUUUAGAGCGGCCCGCGUCUGAUUAGCUAGUUGGUGAGGUAAUGGCUCACCAAGGCGACGAUCAGUAGCUGGUCUGAGAGGAUGACCAGCCACAUUGGGACUGAGACACGGCCCAAACUCCUACGGGAGGCAGCAGUGGGGAAUCUUGCGCAAUGGGCGAAAGCCUGACGCAGCCAUGCCGCGUGGAUGAUGAAGGUCUUAGGAUUGUAAAAUCCUUUCACCGGUGAAGAUAAUGACUGUAGCCGGAGAAGAAGCCCCGGCUAACUUCGUGCCAGCAGCCGCCGCAGUAA
rnacentral:rRNA from 1 species